rnacentral:rRNA from 1 species
GACGAACGCUGGCGGCGUGCUUAACACAUGCAAGUCGAACGAUGAAACCUAGCUUGCUAGGUCGAUUAGUGGCGAACGGGUGAGUAACACGUGACUAACCUGCCCCUUUCUCUGGGAUAACGCUCCGAAAGGAGUGCUAAUACCGGAUACUCACACCGAGGCACAUGCCUUGGUGUGGAAAGUUUUUCGGAAAGGGAUGGAGUCGCGGCCUAUCAGCUUGUUGGUGAGGUAACGGCUCACCAAGGCGACGACGGGUAGCCGGGCUGAGAGGGCGACCGGCCACCCUGGGACUGAGACACGGCCCAGACUCCUGCGGGGGGCAGCAGUGGGGAAUAUUGCACAAUGGGCGCAAGCCUGAUGCAGCGACGCCGCGUGAGGGAUGAAGGUCUUCGGAUUGUAAACCUCUUUCAGUAGGGACGAAGCGAAAGUGACGGUACCUAAAGAAGAAGCACCGGCUAACUACGUGCCAGCAGCCGCGGUAA